AAAUGAUGUAUCAUUGAAAAACAUUAUAUUGAUCUCUUUAAGAGCCUGGCAUAAGAGCACGUAAAAAGAGCAAUAGCAACUUCAGUGCAUCAUCCUCUGUAUAAAAGGAGUAGAUUGGUAAAAAAAGAAAGAGCUGGAAUCAACAAAUAUCAAGUUUAAAUUUCACUGCCAAGAGUCAACUUAUGGUAAAGUGUUGUGACAAUUGGCUUAAUG
rnacentral:misc_RNA from 1 species